rnacentral:hammerhead_ribozyme from 1 species
AUCCAUCUGACGAGUCCCGAAAAGGACGAAAAGCGCGUCCUGGAU